rnacentral:rRNA from 1 species
AUGCAGUCGAACGAUGAAAGAGGAGCUUGCUCCUCUGGAUUAGUGGCGAACGGGUGAGUAACACGUGAGCAAUGUGCCCUUGACUCUGGAAUAAGCGCUGGAAACGGCGUCUAAUACCGGAUACGACCCUCGGAGGCAUCUCCAGGGGGUGGAAAGAACUUCGGUCAAGGAUCAGCUCACGGCCUAUCAGUUAGUUGGUGAGGUAAUGGCUCACCAAGACGACGACGGGUAGCCGGCCUGAGAGGGUGACCGGCCACACUGGGACUGAGACACGGCCCAGACUCCUACGGGAGGCAGCAGUGGGGAAUAUUGCACAAUGGGCGCAAGCCUGAUGCAGCAACGCCGCGUGAGGGACGACGGCCUUCGGGUUGUAAACCUCUUUUAGCAGGGAAGAAGCGAAAGUGACGGUACCUGCAGAAAAAGCACCGGCUAACUACGUGCCAGCAGCCGCGGUAAUACGUAGGGUGCAAGCGUUGUCCGGAAUUAUUGGGCGUAAAGAGCUCGUAGGCGGUUUGUCACGUCUGCUGUGAAAUCCCGAGGCUCAACCUCGGGCUUGCAGUGGGUACGGGCAGACUAGAGUGCGGUAGGGGAGAUUGGAAUUCCUGGUGUAGCGGUGGAAUGCGCAGAUAUCAGGAGGAACACCGAUGGCGAAGGCAGAUCUCUGGGCCGUAACUGACGCUG